rnacentral:lncRNA from 1 species
AACAGAUAUCCCUUCAUCGGGGUCUGAGCUAGAAGCAGCAAACCGAGCAUCAGGUGCCUGCUGGGCAGUGGGAUUGGAGGACUCAUUAACAUACGAUGUUGCUUCGGAACGUGUAAGGACCGCCAGCAGUAGUAACCAGUUCCAUAAACGAAAAGCCAUAAACAUUGCAGGACCCAUGCCUGUGCGACUCUGACUUCGCACCUGGGUCCUGAUGUAUGCCACGCCUCUGCGGCACAGUCACCAGAAAGUUUAAGAAAUUCUAUCUGGGUCUGCACAUGUUACCAAGACAAUUGUGGUUCUGUCUUUGGGUUCUUAGUCAGACUAAUAAGAGCAUUUAAGGAAAGAUUCAGAAGGAAGCUUGAGAAAAAAAAUUAUUAGAUUUUAAAAGAAAAACAACAGGGAAGUCAAGGCUGAAACCUUGGCAGCUGCCGAGAGCCACGGAGAUGGAGAAGAGGAAGAAAGAUGCAAUGCUUGUGACUUGGGCUGGCGUGUUCAGCAAUUGAGGUUCAGCAGGCAAGCACACAGUGGACAAGCAGCUGCAUGCUAAAGUGCAGGGGCUGGGGAGUUUCUUCUGAGAAAGAAUGAGAAAGCCCAGAACUCAGAAGAAACAGAUCCAUGUUUAGCCAUUAACUCUGUAAUCGGAAGAGAACGCUAUCUCCUGAAAGUGGAAAUUGUUCCUCCCAUUUCUUCAGCAUGACUUCAGGAAAUGGGUUGAAAGUGGAAGAUAGAUGUAACCCACAUCCACCAUGAAAAUCCAGAUGCCUGGAUGGACUUCCAAAGUUGUCUUGCAUAGCAGGACUGUUCAAAUGGCAGGCUUUGCAUCUGAAUGGUUUCUGGAACUAAACCAUCCUACCAGGCAAGAACCUAGAAUGAGGCACUUCAGCAAGUUGACACUUCAGGGAGGCCAAAGUCCUGUACUGCCUGUGUCCCUUCAAUCCCAGAUUUUAGAGUCAACUAUUAAACAUCUGUACUUCAGCAAACAUCUUUAUCAAAGGAAGAGAGAAACAAUAGAAACAUUGGCUCCUA